GGUGAGUAGCGCGUGGGAACCUGCCCUGUUGUGGGGGAUAACCGCGGGAAACUGCGGUUAAUACCGCAUACGCCGGUUUGUCUUGAAAGAGAUCGCCGGGAAAGAUUGAUCGCAGCAGGAGGGGCCCGCGUCGGAUUAGGUAGUUGGUGGGGUAAUGGCCUACCAAGCCUGCGAUCCGUAGCUGGUCUGAGAGGAUGAUCAGCCACACUGGGACUGAGACACGGCCCAGACUCCUACGGGAGGCAGCAGUGGGGAAUAUUGGACAAUGGGCGCAAGCCUGAUCCAGCAAUGCCGCGUGAGUGAUGAAGGCCUUCGGGUUGUAAAGCUCUUUCGCACGCGAGGAUGAUGACGCUAGCGUGAGAAGAAGCCCCGGCUAACUUCGUGCCAGCAGCCGCGGUAAUACGAAGGGGGCGAGCGUUGUUCGGAUUUACUGG
rnacentral:rRNA from 1 species